rnacentral:rRNA from 1 species
AAUCUUCCGCAAUGGACGCAAGUCUGACGGAGCAACGCCGCGUGAGCGAGGAAGGUCUUCGGAUCGUAAAGCUCUGUUGCCAGGGAAGAAAAGGCGCUUGUUGACGGCAGGCGCAUUGACGGUACCUGAGACAGAAAGCACCGGCUAACUACGUGCCAGCAGCCGCGGUAAUACGUAGGGGGCGAGCGUUGUCCGGAAUUACUGGGCGUAAAGGGUACGUAGGCGGCUAUAUAAGUCAGGUGUGAAAUACCAGUGCUUAACACUGGAAUUGCAUUUGAAACUGUGUAGCUUGAGUGCAGGAGAGGAAAGUGGAAUUCCUAGUGUAGCGGUGAAAUGCGUAGAGAUUAGGAGGAACACCAGUGGCGAAGGCGACUUUCUGGACUGUAACUGACGCUGAGGUACGAAAGCGUGGGUAGCGAACA